UCGGUCUUACUAAUAAAAAAUCACUAUACAUGCGUUAUGACAAGGUGAUAGUAAUUCAGUGAAUAGAGCUUGUACAGGGCAUAAACACCUCUUUGACCAAUAAUCGAUGUGUAUUGGUUGAAUAACAAAACGACCCUUAUUUAUUGUUACCCUGGCAACCCGCCGUGUUUGAUUGACGUUUGAUUUAAUAAUUCUGAUACAACUCAUAAUUCUAAUCUAAUAGAAACUCCAAAACCUCAGACAAAGAGGACUAGAAUUUUACAUAAAAAGCCGCGUUCUGCAGUACAAAAGUUAGAAGAGGCAUCUCAAAUAGUGGAAAGUGCCAAACUCCGCAACACAGUAGUGUUCCAGUGUUUCCAGGAAGAGCACGAAACAAAACAAAGGCAGAUGGCUGAAACACAUGAGCUCAAACAGAAGCAACUUGCCGAAGCUCACGAAAGGGCUAGACAGGAGCAUCUUCUAAGGCUCAAAUUGUUACAGCAGCAAUUAAAUGAAUAAUAAUUAUAUACUUAUAAAAAAAAAAAAACCAUGUUUUAAAUGAAAUAUAACUUUUUAUUUAUUUCAAGUCUUUGACUAUCCACACCUAUGUAAAUAAAACAGCCUUAAAAAUAUGUUUCAAUAAAAGCAGCUCUAGCAGCUUGUUCAGCCAGUUCUGGAGCAUUCUCAGUGUCAUCAUACGUAACAUCCAGGUCUUCUUUGAUAUCAAUAGCAAUAUUGUGGAGGAUUGCCAGUGCUACUAUAUAUAAUUUGGCAUUUUCUAAUGACACUGAGAAGCCAUGAAGAAGACACCUAAAUGGGAAACCCUCCACCAUUAUUACUCUUUUCGACAUCAGCUCGCACUAUGUCACAGAUCUUCAUAACAUACUUCUUUGAAAAGCGGUAUUUUGUUUUGAAAUCGCCAUGCGAAAGUAAUAACGGAUUGCACCGAGUUUGGUAUGUUUAGACUUUCCUUGGAGGCGGCAAAUGUUCAAUCGUAUGUAUUAGCUGCAUAUCAAUAUUAUCUAAAUCUUCCAUUUGAUCUAUAAAAUCUAUUUUCAACAAACACAAAUACCUACUAACUUAAAUCUUUCCUUGAACUAAACAGUAAAAAAAUGCUGUCAAACGCGAAAUCAGAUAAAAUUACGCAAUUUUUGCCUUAUACACCCGUUAAACUAGGCCUCUGCGUUGUAUAAGCAUUGUACAAGUCUUCAUACAAACCAGACACUUGUUAUAACAGCAGUAUACAUCAACCUUGUCAAUUCAGGAAUUAUUAGUAACAUUUUUCUUAUAACAGGCUUAUACGAUGUGCAUAAAUCUUUAUUAGUAAGACCGA